GGUUGGUCCCAAUGCAGUGGUGUUUAGAACUAAUUGAUCACAACCAGUUACAGAUUCCUUUGUUCCUUCUCCACUCCCACUGCCCCACUUGAGCAGCCUUAA
rnacentral:Y_RNA from 1 species